GCAAGUAAAGUGGCAGACGGGUGAGUAACACGUGAAUAACCCACACCCCUGUGGGGAAUAACCCCGCGAAAGCGGGGCUAAUACCGCAUAACAUCAUGGGAUCGCAUGAUCUCAUGAUCAAAGGCUUCGGUCGCUGGGGAAGGGGUUCACGCCUGAUUAGCUAGUUGGUGAGGUAACGGCCCACCAAGGCGACGAUCAGUAGCCGGCCUGAGAGGGCGUACGGCCACACUGGAACUGAGACACGGUCCAGACUCCUACGGGAGGCAGCAGUGGGGAAUUUUGCGCAAUGGGCGAAAGCCUGACGCAGCAACGCCGCGUGGAGGAUGAAGGCCUUCGGGUCGUAAACUCCUGUCAGGGGGGACGAAGGCCGCGCAAGCGGUUUGACUGUACCCUCUGAGGAAGCCACGGCUAACUCCGUGCCAGCAGCCGCGGUAAUACGGAGGUGGCAAGCGUUGUUCGGAAUUACUGGGCGUANAGGGCGCGUACGCGGCUUGGCAAGUCAGAUGUGAAAGCCCCGGGCUUAACUUGGGAAUUGCAUCUGAAACUGCUUAGCUUGAGUCCUGGAGGGGGUAGUGGAAUUCCCAGUGUAGCGGUGAAAUGCGUAGAUAUUGGGAGGAACACCGGCGGCGAAGGCGGCUACCUGAGACAGUGACUGACGCUGAGGCGCGAAAGCUAGGGGAGCAAACGGUAUUAGAUACCCCGGUAGUCCUAGCCGUAAACGAUGGGCACUUGGUGUUGGGGGUAUUGAGUCCCCCGGUGCCGGAAUUACCAUAUUAAGUGCCCCGCCUGGGGAGUACGG
rnacentral:rRNA from 1 species